rnacentral:rRNA from 1 species
UACGGAGGGUGCAAGCGUUAAUCGGAAUUACUGGGCGUAAAGCGCGCGUAGGCGGUGGCGUGAGUCGGAUGUGAAAGCCCCGGGCUCAACCUGGGAAUGGCAUUCGAUACCGCGCUGCUAGAGUUUGGGAGAGGGAAGGGGAAUUCCGGGUGUAGCGGUGAAAUGCGUAGAUAUCGUGAGGAACACCAGAGGCGAAGGCGGCUACCUGGGACGGUACUGACGCUGAGACGCGAAAGCGUGGGGAGCAACAGGG